rnacentral:pre_miRNA from 1 species
AGUGGAAUAACUGGGUCAAAUGGUGGUUUCAUUUCAAGUUUACUAAGGAAUCUCCACACUGCUUUCCAUAGUGAUUGUACCAAUUUUCAGUCCCACCGGCAAU